rnacentral:rRNA from 1 species
UGCGUGCUAGGCUGGAAAGUUGCACAAACCUGGUCGUCUAGAGGAAGUAAAAGUCGUAACAAGGUCUCCGUUGGUGAACCAGCGGAGGGAUCAUUA